AUACAUGUAGUCGAGCGCGGGAUUGAGGAGCUUGCUCCUCAAACCCGAGCGGCGGACGGGUGAGUAACACGUAGGCAACCUACCCAUCAGACCGGGAUAACCGCGGGAAACCGUGGCUAAUACCGGAUGAUCCUUCCGGACACAAGUCGGGAAGUUGAAAGGCGCUUUUGGUGCCGUUGAUGGAUGGGCCUGCGGCGCAUUAGCUGGUUGGUGAGGUAACGGCUCACCAAGGCGACGAUGCGUAGCCGACCUGAGAGGGUGAUCGGCCACACUGGGACUGAGACACGGCCCAGAGUCCUACGGGAGGCAGCAGUAGGGAAUCUUCCGCAAUGGACGCAAGUCUGACGGAGCAACGCCGCGUGAGUGAUGAAGGGUUUCGGCCCGUAAAACUCUGUUGUUAAGGAAGAACACUUGAGGUAGUAACUGGCCUUGAGAUGACGGUACUUAACCAGAAAGCCACGGCUAACUACGUGCCAGCAGCCGCGGUAAUACGUAGGUGGCAAGCGUUAUCCGGAAUUAUUGGGCGUAAAGCGCGCGUAGGCGGUAAAAUAAGUCUGAUGUGAAAGCCCCCGGCUCAACCGGGGAGGGUCAUUGGAAACUGUUUUACUUGAGUACAGAAGAGGAGAGUGGAAUUCCAUGUGUAGCGGUGAAAUGCGCAGAGAUAUGGAGGAACACCAGUGGCGAAGGCGGCUCUCUGGUCUGUAACUGACGCUGAGGUGCGAAAGCGUGGGGAUCAAACAGGAUUAGAUACCCUGGUAGUCCACGCCGUAAACGAUGAGUGCUAAGUGUUGGGGGGUUUCCGCCCCUCAGUGCUGCAGCUAACGCAUUAAGCACUCCGCCUGGGGAGUACGGCCGCAAGGCUGAACUCAAAGGAAUUGACGGGGACCCGCACAAGCGGUGGAGCAUGUGGUUUAUUCGAGCACGCGAG
rnacentral:rRNA from 1 species